GAUGAACGCUAGCGGGAGGCCUAACACAUGCAAGCCGAGCGGUAUUUGUCCUUCGGGACCGCGAGAGCGGCGUACGGGUGCGGAACACGUGUGCAACCUGCCUUUAUCUGGGGGAUAGCCUUUCGAAAGGAAGAUUAAUACCCCAUAAUAUAUCGAAUGGCAUCAUUCGAUAUUGAAAACUCCGGUGGAUAGAGAUGGGCACGCGCAAGAUUAGAUAGUUGGUGAGGUAACGGCUCACCAAGUCAGUGAUCUUUAGGGGGCCUGAGAGGGUGAUCCCCCACACUGGUACUGAGACACGGACCAGACUCCUACGGGAGGCAGCAGUGAGGAAUAUUGGACAAUGGGUGAGAGCCUGAUCCAGCCAUCCCGCGUGAAGGACUAAGGCCCUAUGGGUUGUAAACUUCUUUUAUACUGGGAUAAACCUACUUACGUGUAAGUAGCUGAAGGUACAGUAUGAAUAAGCACCGGCUAACUCCGUG
rnacentral:rRNA from 1 species